UCCAGCAGGCAGUGAGAAACUGAGCGUGGUGGGCUCCAGAUCAGAAAAUCUACCCCGAAGAUUCAGAAUCAGUUACAAACCAUGAAGACAUUGAUGUUUGCCAUUGUCUGACAAAGGACACUUGCCUCUUUCAGUGCUGAGGGUAAACAGUCUCACAAAAACCUGCCGAGCACCUGCUGAAUAAAUCCUCAGAUAGCACAAAGGACAAUCAGAAUUGGAGCCUGAGGAUUCCUCUAUUUUUUAAGUACUAAGGAGCGCUGUAGUGCAACUGCAGUGGAAGAAUGCAAAGCAAGAGCUCAAGGAAAGUGAGCAUGGUCAAUGCAUGUUUUAUUCAUAUGAAUCACGGUGUUUUUGUAUGGAAUUAUUAAACUACAGGUUGGUGUUAAUCUACAGUUUGUUAAAUAAAUGUAGUUGUUUAUUGGAAUGCCUAAGGAAUGGGGUCAAUACUCCCUCCACCCUUGCAUAGCAUGGCUCUUUGAGUGGGAACCCAGAGCAGUCACAGUGCUGACACAACUCCUCUAUCCCUCAUCCCCAUAUCAGCACAUGGUUCAUUAUCUGCUUUUACUCUAAGGUGAAGCAGAUCAGAGAGUUGUCAAACCCCUUAGGAAGCAUAUGCUGUAACCUUAUUAAUAGGAUGUGAGGAAGCGUGGCUCUUAUGGGCAGAGUCCCCUCAGCUGCUGUUGUAGAAGUGGGGUCUUGGCAUUUUAGCUUAAAUCUAAGCAUUUUCAGCUUAAGGAAAGGCUGAGAGACCUUCUCCUUAGAAAAAUUACUUACAAAUAUUUCUUCAUAGAAUUCUUAUAGAAGUUCUGGCUGUCAUCAGUGGCACGAUAACAGGGAAAGAACAACAGUAUUUUUUCCUUCCAGUACCUAAAGGGGCCUACAGGAAAGCUGAGAAGGGACUUUUUAUAAGGGCAGGUAGCAGCUGGACAGGGGUAAAUGCUUUUAAACUGGAUGAGGGGUAGAUUUAGACUAGCUAUUAGGAAGAAAUUCUUGACUGUGAGGGUGGUGACACUGGAAUAGGUUGCCCAGUGAGGUUCUGAAUGCCCCUCCAUGGAAGCAUUCAAGGCCAGGCUGGGUGGGCUUUGAGCAAGCUGGUCUAGAGGGAGGAGUCCCCGCCUUUAGCAGGGGGUUGGAACUAGAUGAUCUUAAAGGUUCCCUCUAACCCAAACCAUUCUGUGAUUCUGUGAUUUUCCAACAGACAAAUUUGUUGAUGAGUGUUAGCAUUGCAGCUGCCAGGUAAUAAUCAGUUGGUAACCCAAUACAAAAUUGCUAAAUAGGAAAUACUAUGUAGAGAUCACAGGUGUUCUUGUAUUCAAUCUUGCUUUCAUGUUUUUAGAAUUGCAGGUACCUAUUCUGAAGCACAGUCCUUGAUUCUGAGUGGAUUCCAAGUUUUACACCUAGAU